GCAACCUGCCCGGAAGAGGGGGAUAGCCCGGGGAAACCCGGAUUAAUACCGCGUGUGCCCCUGCGGGGAAACCCGUGGAGGGUGAAGGUGGCCUUUCGGGGCUGCCGCUUCUGGAUGGGCUCGCGGCCUAUCAGCUGGAUGGUGGGGUAACGGCCUACCAUGGCGACGACGGGUAGCUGGUCUGAGAGGAUGGUCAGCCACACUGGAACUGAGACACGGUCCAGACACCUACGGGUGGCAGCAGUCGAGAAUCAUUCGCAAUGGGGGAAACCCUGACGGUGCGACGCCGCGUGGAGGAUGAAGGUCUUCGGAUUGUAAACUCCUGUCAUCGGUGAGUAAGGCGCGGGAGGUGAACAGCCUUUCGUGUUGAUAGUAGCCGAAGAGGAAGGGACGGCUAACUUCGUGCCAGCAGCCGCGGUAAUACGAAGGUCCCAAGCGUUGUUCGGAAUCACUGGGCGUAAAGGGUGCGUAGGCGGCGCGGUAAGUCAGAUGUGAAAGCCUGGGGCUCAACCCCGGAAUGGCAUCCGAUACUGCCGUGCUGGAAUAGUGGAGGGGGAUCUGGAAUUCACGGUGUAGCAGUGAAAUGCGUAGAUAUCGUGAGGAAAGCUCGUGGCGAAAGCGAAAUCUUGGAACUUACUGACGCUGAGGCCCAAGGCCAGGGAACG
rnacentral:rRNA from 1 species